CAUAAAAAUAGCGGUAACGGUUCUCUUUGCGUAAGAGAGAUUAAAAGGGAACGAAGUGCGAGUGGUAACCCCCAUUCAAGGCUUCGGCUGUCCCCGCAACUGUAAGUGGUAUGUUUUUGCUCUACUGACUAUCUUGUUCAGGCCACUGGGGGUGCAAACUUCUGGGAAGGUGAGGCAAAAAAUUUGAGCCACAAGCCAGGAGACCUGCCGUUAUAUGUGGUUGCAA
rnacentral:ncRNA from 2 species